CUGUUUAGCCACACUCGCAGUCUGUGAUGGCGUAGUCACGGAUGUCAAAAAAUCUAAAUACUUCAUACUCAAUUGCUUGACAUUUCACGGCUUCUUCAACCAAAAGUUUGCUCUAUUAUUCCAUAGAGUUUGUCAUUUCAUUGUCAUAAUAUCUCCAUCUCAUUAUGUCUCGAGACAUCAUUUUUGAGGACUGUCUAACAUGUGGAUGUUCAGUAGAAUUGUCCCUAUUGGAAAACCAUGUGUCCAAUUGCAUAAUUCUAAAUGAGCGGUCUGUUUCUGAAGUCCAAAGGAGAAAGAAAUUAGAUGUGGAUGUAAAGAAAGUGAAACAAUAUCUAGAUGAGAGAAUUCCUACUAAGGAAAUUUGUCGUUUGCUUGGAAUCUCAAGAAGGACUCUAUUUUGAGUCUUAAAAGAAAUCAACAUUACAGCUAGACCAAAAUACACUAAUAUUGGAACAAAGAACUUGGAAUCAUAUCUUACCAACACAAUCUUCAAAAGAAACCCCAAAUUGGUAAUUAUUGAGAUGAAUAGUGUAUUAAAUUACAUCGUGAAACAAU